rnacentral:rRNA from 1 species
CCUACGGGAGGCUGCAGUCGAGGAUCAUUCGCAAUGGGCGCAAGCCUGACGGUGCGACGCCGCGUGCAGGAUGAAGGCCAUCGGGUUGUAAACUGCUGUCAUGAGGGAGCAAAGGGCCGGGGGCGAAUACCCCUCGGAACGGAUAGUACCUCAAGAGGAAGCCACGGCUAACUCUGUGCCAGCAGCCGCGGUAAUACAGAGGCGGCGAGCGUUGUUCGGAUUUACUGGGCGUAAAGGGUGCGUAGGCGGUCCUGCAUGUCGGAUGUAAAAUCUCACGGCUCAACUGUGGAAUGGCAUUCGAAACGGCAGGGCUGGAGUACAGGAGAGGAGAGUGAAAUUCUCGGUGUAGGGGUGAAAUGCGUAGAUAUCGAGAGGAACGCCGGUGGCGAAGGCGGCUCUCUGGACUGAUACUGACGCUGAGGCACGAAAGCUGGGGGAGCAAACAGGAUUAGAUCCCCUGGUAGU